AUGGAUUCGAAGAAUACGAUGAAGAGAAGUGAUGAAGAUGUUUAUGUUGGUCUUGCUGUUCAUAGCCAAGUGAUUAAAAUCAAACAAGAAAUAGAGAAAAUCAAACAACCUUCAUUGGAGGCUGAUUUGUAUACGACAAGACUCAAAGAUGUUAAACGUCUUCGAUCUCGUUCUCCUCUUGGAUUAUCAGAAAGAACCAUCCUUAUUGGUCACUCUUAG